rnacentral:rRNA from 1 species
GACGUAGGGCGCGAGCGUUGUCCGGAUUUAUUGGGCGUAAAGAGCUCGUAGGCGGCUUGUCGCGUCGACUGUGAAAUCCCGCGGCUCAACUGCGGGUCUGCAGUCGAUACGGGCUGGCUAGAGGCAGGCAGGGGAGAACGGAAUUCCUGGUGUAGCGGUGAAAUGCGUAGAUAUCAGGAGGAACACCUGUGGCGAAAGCGGCUCACUGGACCAUAACUGACGCUGAUGCACGAAAGCUAGGGGAGCAACCAGG